rnacentral:miRNA from 1 species
AUAUGUAUUAUUUCAUGGACCUUGUUAAAAUGCAGAUUCUGAUUCAGAAGGUCUGGGAUGGAACCUGAGAUUCUUCAUUUUUAACAAAUUCCCAGGUGAUGCUAUU